rnacentral:rRNA from 1 species
CCUACGGGCGGCAGCAGUGAGGAAUAUUGGUCAAUGGACGAGAGUCUGAACCAGCCAAGUAGCGUGAAGGAUGACUGCCCUAUGGGUUGUAAACUUCUUUUAUAAAGGAAUAAAACGAGGCACGUGUGCCUUUUUGCAUGUACUUUAUGAAUAAGGAUCGGCUAACUCCGUGCCAGCAGCCGCGGUAAUACGGAGGAUCCGAGCGUUAUCCGGAUUUAUUGGGUUUAAAGGGUGCGUAGAUGGGUUGUUAAGACAGUUGUGAAAGGUUGCGGCUCAACCGUAAAAAUGCAAGUGAUACUGGCAGUCUUGAGUACAGUUGAGGUAGGCGGAAUGCGUGGUGUAGCGGUGAAAUGCUGAGAUAUCACGAAGAACCCCGAUUGCGAAGGCAGCUUACUAAACUGUGACUGACAUUGAUGCUCGAAAGUGUGGGUAUCAAACAGGAUUAGAUACCCUGGUAGUC